CAGUCGCCGCGGGAAUACGAAGGGGGCUAGCGUUGUUCGGAUUUACUGGGUAUAAAGGGUGCGUAGGCGGACUGAUAAGUCAGGGGUGAAAUCCCAAGGCUCAACCUUGGAACUGCCUUUGAUACUGUUAGUCUUGAGUUCGGGAGAGGUGAGUGGAACUGCGAGUGUAGAGGUGGAAUUCGUAGAUAUUCGCAAGAACACCAGUGGCGAAGGCGGCUCACUGGCCCGGUACUGACGCUGAGGCGCGAAAGCGUGGGGAGCAAACAGGAUUAGAGACCCCGGUAGUCCCUGUCUCUUAUAA
rnacentral:rRNA from 1 species